rnacentral:lncRNA from 1 species
GACAGAGCGGCCUCCAGGGCCCCGCCUCUAGCCCUAGAGUCCCACCCACUUCCUCCUCCGCUUCCUUUCCCAGCCUGCCACUGCGGGUCCUCUGGGUUCUGGAUCCGUUCCUCCAGCCCCCACAUUUUGGAAACAAGGGUCAUUCAGAACAGGCCGGCGCAGGAGGGGAGGAUGAUGGAGAUUCCCCAAGCCAGAAGAGAUGGUGACCUACCCAACCCAGAGCUAAUGUUUAUAACCACCAGUUCACCACUAUUUUCUUCGGCCAGGCAGUAGGCUAAGACCUUUAUUGCUUUAUACCAUUUAAUCGUCAGUAAACCCCUUGGUAAGAAAAUUGAGGCUCAGCGAGAUUGCCUAAAGUCAUGCACAGUAAGAGAAGGUCUGGGGAUUCAAACCCAGAUCACCCUCAUGCCACAAAACCAGUGCCCUUGACCACCACCUGGUCGAGCACCUUAACACUUCACUGAGAGCGGCUAGCACUCCCCGCAGGAUGUGGACAGGAAUCUGCCCUUCCAGAAGGCACGGCUUGGGGAGCAGUCGCUCUGGGGAGCUUCCCCUUUCGUUCGCUGUGAGAUCACGGAGGCCCGUGUCAGCUGAGCUGGGAGCGGACAGGGCUGGUGACCUAAUGUGGGAAUGACCCGGGGCAGCCCUGGCUGGGGCCUGUCCCAGCGUCUAAAGAAAGGCCCACCUGACCCACCUCACAGAGUGGUUGUGAGGAUUAAAGUGAAUUACAGUGAAGUUGCUUUUCAAAGGAAAAACUAUGUAAUAAGCAAAUACUGUAACAGCUAGAUCUUAAGUUAACAUGAGGGAAGCCAUCUUAGGGAAAAGAAGCAAUAUUGUAACUAUGACCCUGACUCACUUGUUUCUGUGAAUACAUUCUAGCCUGCACUAGCCUAGAUGAUUAAGCACCUCUUGCUUUUACGAAAUACAUGAUCUGCUAGUUGCUUACGUAUAUCUCCUAGCUGUGAUGAGACAACUUUGUUCUCUGAGUUCCCGAGGA